rnacentral:lncRNA from 1 species
CCUCUCCCAGGUCUAGAGAGGGGUACCCACGGUGGAGGGAGGUGGGAGGCCGAGACGGCCCCGGGGGUCGGCGGAGACCCAGCGGGAGCAGGGGGAAAUCGGAAGAGCUGGGGGCAUGGAGCGGGCGAGUUUGGAGCGGAAUGAGCCGGGAGCCCUACGUUGUGGAAGGAAGACAACAGUAUAGGACCAUCAGCAGGACCGGACAGAGAGGGGCACGGUUUCUCUGUAUAGCCCUGGCUGUCCUGGAACUUGUAGACCAGGCUGGCCUUGAACUCAGAAAUCCGCCUGCCUCUGACUCCCGAGUGCUGAGAUUAAAGGUGUGCACCACCACACCCGACAAGGAAGCCUGUUUUAAGAAGUGAUUCCAUGGAGGAGUUCUGCGGCGGCUCAGGGCUUGACUAAACAGUGGACCUCAGACCCGAGGGUGAAGGAUGAGGAGGAUGGAAGAAAAUGGGAGUGGCGCUUGCUGCAAAGGGUCUCGAAGGGUCUCAGCACCUGCGAACUGGCUCCAAUCCAAACUCCACUAUUCAUGGUCAAGUUCACAUAGGGCUUGGGGUUCUAACAAGAUGUGACUAAACUUACGUUUUCUAUCUUAUUGAUUGUUGUUGAUGCACGUCUGGUGGUACAUGCUUGAAGAACACAGACACCCUGAGAAGAAAGACAUAGCUCCCCAGAUUCCAGCACGCACUUCUCUGUGAGCUACCACUGUAGCUGAAGAUACAGGGCUCAGGAGGAACACUUGGCCUUCGCUCUGAACUUCAGGCCCACGUAACCAUCAGCCGACAUGACACUGCAAAGGCACCUUAGCUCUGCUGUCCCAGAUGGCCAAGCCAACCUUAUUCCAGAAGCUACUUCUCCUGAUGUAAGAACCAGACACAAAGGACAACCUCUGCCUCACCCUCCUUCACACAACACUGAGUCUGUCAUCUUUGAAGCAUUUCUCAAGCCAUGUUUAUUCCCCUGGCCUACGUGGAACACAGCCAGGGUACGGAACACAACCUCAGCACCGGUCUGCUUUCCUCUCCCCAUUUCUGGUCUUUCUCAGAUGCCCAGAGCUCCUCUGUCCCAAUGACUGCUUAUCAAAGAUCUCACUGUGUCCCCACCCAAGGGGUCUUUGGCCACCCUGUGAAGUCCUAGUGGCCUGGAGUUUGCCCCCUUUCCCAGACACCUUAGGGUUCCUGCUGCAGCUCCAGAACUGGGGGAGCAGGGUUGGGGGUGAGUGUGUGUGUGUGUGUGUGUGUGUGUGUGUGUGUGUGUGUUGACUCACCCUGCAGUAUUCUCUCCAUCUGCACAGGUCCCCAGUCUCUGAGACUGAAUCACCCCUCUUUCACUAUGCCUCUGCACAGCUGCCCUUGUGCUCCCUCUCCUUGCCCCGCCUCUUUUUAAGACAGUAUUAUGCAGCCCUGGCUGUCCUGGAACUUAUGUAAACCAGCCUGGCCUUGAACUUGCAGAGAUCCACCUGCCUUUGCCUCUGCCCCUGCCCCUGCCCCUGCCCCUGCCCCUGCCCCUGCCCCUGCCUUUCUGCCUCUGCCUCUGCCUCUCUGCCUUUCUGCCUCUGCCUCUCUGCCUCUGCCUCUCUGCCUCUGCCUCUCAAGUGUCAGGGAUUAAUGCCUGCCACCUCCCCAGUCCCACCCCUCUCCAUCUACCAUGUGGGUUCCACGGGGCAAACCCAAGUCAUCAGGCUUGUUGGCCAGUGCCUUUAUCCACUGAGCCAAGCCGCUUGGUGUGUCUUUGAUGGUGAUUAUUUACAGGAGCUAUUCAGCAAGGUUAAAUGCUGGCAACCCAAUGAGGGGGUCUCUUGAUCCAAAACUGAGAAGUUGAGGCACUAUUUCAGAAUGACCAAAGACAGUAGAAGAAUCUAGAUAUGUCGAUGAUGAGAACAAUGAUAACUCCAAAAGCUGAGGGAAAUUAACUCAAAAUCUUCCAGCUUCCUUUUCCUUACCUAGUUUGGCGGACUCCAACUCUUGGGAUAGCUUUUUUUCUGGCCCCAAACUCACCUGAUUCGUCUGUCCACUGCCACACUGAAGAAUGAACAGCUGUCUCAGAGAGCUUGGCUCCAGAGCUCUGCAAAAAGAGGACACCUUGCCUUGAGCUGUGUUUCCAGAAUGUAUUGCAGCCCCCAGAGUCAUGUACUGUGACCAGGUGAGGACAUGCAUCUUCUGUUCUCCUGCACCCAGGGCCCCAGCAACCAAGGAUCUGGGGACAUGGCGGGUGUUUGGCAGGUUCGCACUCUGAAAAUAUUUGAUGAGACUCAGUAUAUGCUAAAUAAACACUGGAUCAAGUU